GUGUGUGUGUGUGUGUGUGUGUGAUCUCAGAAUAAACCCCUUCAGGUGUGUGUGUGUGUGUGUGUGUGUGUGUGUGUGAUCUCAGAAUAAACCCCUUCAGGUGUGUGUGUGUGUGUGUGUGUGAUCUCAGAAUAAACCCCUUCAGGUGUGUGUGUGUGUGUGUGUGAUCUCAGAAUAAACCCCUUCAGGUGUGUGUGUGUGUGUGUGUGUGUGUGUGUGUGUGUGUGUGUGUGUGUGAUCUCAGAAUAAACCCCUUCAGGUGUGUGUGUGUGUGUGUGUGUGUGUGUGUGAUCUCAGAAUAAACCCCCUUCAGGUGUGUAUGUGUGUGUGUGAUCUCAGAAUAAACCCCUUCAGGUGUGUGUGUGUGUGUGAUCUCAGAAUAAACCCCUUCAGGUGUGUGUGUGUGUGUGUGUGUGUGUGUGAUCUCAGAAUAAACCCCUUCAGGUGUGUGUGUGUGUGUGUGAUCUCAGAAUAAACCCCUUCAGGUGUGUGUGUGUGAUCUCAGAAUAAACCCCUUCAGGUGUGUGUGUGUGUGUGUGUGAUCUCAGAAUAAACCCCUUCAGGUGUGUGUGUGUGUGUGUGAUCUCAGAAUAAACCCCUUCAGGUGUGUGUGUGUGUGUGAUCUCAGAAUAAACCCCCUUCAGGUGUGUGUGUGUGUGUGUGUGUGUGUGUGAUCUCAGAAUAAACCCCUUCAGGUGUGUGUGUGUGUGUGUGAUCUCAGUAUAAACCCCCUUCAGGUGUGUGUGUGUGUGUGUGUGUGUGUGUGUGUGUGUGUGUGUGUGUGUGUGAUCUCAGAAUAAACCCCUUCAGGUGUGUGUGUGUGUGUGUAAUCUCAGAAUAAACCCCUUCAGGUGUGUGUGUGUGUGUGUGUGAUCUCAGAAUAAACCCCCUUCAGGUGUGUGUGUGUGUGUGUGUGUGUGAUCUCAGAAUAAACCCCUUCAGGUGUGUGUGUGUGUGUGUGUGAUCUCAGAAUAAACCCCUUCAGGUGUGUGUGUGUGUGUGUGUGUGUGUGUGUGUGUGUGUGUGUGUGUGUGU